UACUUGGUGGCGACCGGCGCAAGGGUGCGUAACGCGUGAGCAACAUGCCCGUAUCAGGGGGAUAAUCCAGGGAAACUUGGUCUAAUACUCCAUAGUAAUCAUAUUAGGCAGCUGGUAUGAUUUAAAGCUUAGGUGGAUACGGAUUGGCUCGCGUGACAUUAGCUAGAUGGUAAGGUAACGGCUUACCAUGGCUAUGAUGUCUAGGGGUUCUGAGAGGAAGGUCCCCCACACUGGAACUGAGACACGGUCCAGACUCCUACGGGAGGCAGCAGUGAAGAAUAUUGGACAAUGGAUGGAAAUCUGAUCCAGCCAUGCCGCGUGAAGGACGACGGUCCUAUGGAUUGUAAACUUCUUUUGUAUGGGAGCAAUAAGGUCUACGUGUAGAUCGAUGAGAGUACCAUACGAAUAAGCAUCGGCUAACUCCGUGCCAGCAGCCGCGGUAAUACGGAGGAUGCGAGCGUUAUCCGGAUUUAUUGGGUUUAAAGGGUGCGUAGGCGGUUGUAUAAGUCAGCGGUGAAAUUUUCCGGCUUAACCGGGAGACUGCCGUUGAUACUGUAUAGCUUGAAUACNGUUGCUGUGAGUGGAAUGUGUGGUGUAG
rnacentral:rRNA from 1 species